GGGGGCGUCGCCACCACUACCACCGACAUUGCCGGGAACCCCAUCCUCAUCCUCGACUACGGAUUCCAGUACACAACUCGCCAUAUCCGCUAACUCUCCUCUCUCUUUCUCUGCAUUUUCAGAAACUCUCCUCUCUUCUUUAUCUCCAACCAAAAAAAAAAAAAAUUACAAAAGAGAGAAAGAAGCGAUUAAACGAAGCAGACUUCGAUGCGGCCGUUUACGAUGGCGAUGUAGAGUGCAGAGAGGAGGUCGUGGAUGGUGGUGUGGCGGAGGAGAUCGUGAUCGACGCAGAGGGAAGAGCGGACAACAUUGGCGCCCUCGUCUCGAAUCGUGCAGAGGAAGGCAACAAAUCAGGCAGUCACCACCUCACGUUUUGGUGAAUCUGUACUAAAAAAAGCAAGAUGGUAAAGAAAAAGAAGAAACCACAACUUAUGGCGAAGAAAAACGGUUGCAUGGCUAGAAAAAUAAAUUGUCAUAUGAAAAAAAGAAACGGUAGCAUGGGGAAGAUAACUGUGGAAAGAGAAACGGUAGCAUUGGGAGGAUAAAAUGUCAUAUGGCAAAGAGAAACGGUCGAAGGAAGAGAAAACUUGAAACGGUCGCAUUGGGAAGAUAAAAUGUCAUAUGGAAAAGAGAAACCUUGAAGGUGGGGCUGCCACGUGGAUUAUUUUUUGGGGAUUAAUAUAGAGUUAUAGAUUAUAGAUUUGUACAUCAUCUUUUUGCCGCCCGAGUAAUUUGAUUGCGCGAUUAGAGUUUUAGUCUAUAUGUUAUCACUAUAGCUAGUGGGGGUGAAAACGGUCGAAUGCG
rnacentral:lncRNA from 1 species